CAUUCACCGACAUGCAAGGGGUGCAGGUUGUCUCAUUUAUCACAUUCACCGACAUACAAGGGGUGCAGGUUGUCUCAUUUAUCACAUUCACCGACAUGCAAGGGGUGCAGGUUGUCUCAUUUAUCACAUUCACCGACAUACAAGGGGUGCAGGUUGUCUCAUUUAUCACAUUCACCGACAUACAAGGGGUGCAGUUUAUCUCAUUUAUCACAUUCACCGACAUACAAGGGGUGCAGGUUGUCUCAUUUAUCACAUUCACCGACAUACAAGGGGUGCAGGUUGUCUCAUUUAUCACAUUCACCGACAUACAAGGGGUGCAGGUUGUCUCAUUUAUCAC